CAAUAGCGUAUAUUUAAGUUGUUGCAGUUAAAAAGCUCGUAGUUGGAUUUCUGCUGAUCGCUGUCGGUCUGCCGUCAGGUGUGUACUGGCAGUGUUUGGCAUCUAUUCGAGAUUGAGUGUCCACUUGAUUGUGUGCACUCGAUGUCGGAGCUAAUACUUUGAGAAAAUUAGAGUGUUCCACGCAGGCGCGUGCCUUGAAUACUGCAGCAUGGGAUAUUGGAAGGCCGAUUGAGCCUUCUUGUUGGUUCUCGGUUUGAUCGGAAUGAUUAAUAGGGAUAGUUGGGGGCAUUCGUAUUCAACUGUCAGAGGUGAAAUUCUUGGAUUUGUUGAAGACGGACUACUGCGAAAGCAUCUGCCAUGGAUGUUCUCAUUGA
rnacentral:rRNA from 1 species